rnacentral:rRNA from 1 species
GACGAACGCUGGCGGCGUGCUUAACACAUGCAAGUCGAACGGAAAGGCCCUGCUUUUGUGGGGUGCUCGAGUGGCGAACGGGUGAGUAACACGUGAGUAACCUGCCCUUGACUUUGGGAUAACUUCAGGAAACUGGGGCUAAUACCGGAUAGGAGCUCCUGCUGCAUGGUGGGGGUUGGAAAGUUUCGGCGGGUGGGGAUGGACUCGCGGCUUAUCAGCCUGUUGGUGGGGUAGUGGCUUACCAAGGCUUUGACGGGUAGCCGGCCUGAGAGGGUGACCGGCCACAGUGGGACUGAGAUACGGACCAGACUCCUACGGUAGGCAGCAGGGGGGAAUAUUGCACAAUGGGCGGAAGCCUGAUGCAGCAACGCCGCGUGCGGGAUGACGGCCUGCGGGUUGUAAACCGCUUUCGCCUGUGACGAAGCGUGAGUGACGGUAAUGGGUAAAGAAGCACCGGCUAACUACGUG